GAUGAACGCUGGCGGCGUGCCUAAUACAUGCAAGUCGAGCUAACGGACGAGAAGCUUGCCUUUCUGAUGUUAGCGGCGGACGGGUGAGUAACACGUGGAUAACCUACCCAUAAGACUGGGAUAACUUCGGGAAACCGGAGCUAAUACCGGAUAAUAUUUUGAACCGCAUGGUUCAAAAGUGAAAGACGGUCUUGCUGUCACUUAUAGAUGGAUCCGCGCUGCAUUAGCUAGUUGGUAAGGUAACGGCUUACCAAGGCAACGAUGCAUAGCCGACCUGAGAGGGUGAUCGGCCACACUGGAACUGAGACACGGUCCAGACUCCUACGGGAGGCAGCAGUAGGGAAUCUUCCGCAAUGGGCGAAAGCCUGACGGAGCAACGCCGCGUGAGUGAUGAAGGUCUUCGGAUCGUAAAACUCUGUUAUUAGGGAAGAACAUAUGUGUAAGUAACUGUGCACAUCUUGACGGUACCUAAUCAGAAAGCCACGGCUAACUACGUG
rnacentral:rRNA from 1 species